rnacentral:rRNA from 1 species
UGGCAUGGGCGAAAGCUGACGCUUCACGCCGCGUGCGGGAAGAAGGCUUAGUGGUUGUAAACCGCUUUCAGCAGGGAAGAAAAUGACGGUACCUGCAGAAGAAGGUGCGGCCAACUACGUGCCAGCAGCCGCGGUGACACGUAGGCACCAAGCGUUGUCCGGAUUUAUUGGGCGUAAAGAGCUCGUAGGCGGUUCAGCAAGUCGGGUGUGAAAACUCUGGGCUUAACCCAGAGCCGCCACCCGAUACUGCUGUGACUUGAGUCCGGUAGGGGAGCGGGGAAUUCCUGGUGUAGCGGUGAAAUGCGCAGAUAUCAGGAGGAACACCGGUGGCGAAGGCGCCGCUCUGGGCCGAGACUGACGCUGAGGAGCGAAAGCAUGGGUAGCAAACAGGAUUAGAUACCCUGGUAGUCCAUGCCGUAAACGUUGGGCACUAGGUGUGGGCAUCAACCAACGAUGUCCGCGCCGUCGCUAACGCAUUAAGUGCCCCGACUGGGGAGUACGGUCGCAAGACUAAAACUCAAAGGAAUUGACGGGGGCCCGCACAAGCAGCGGAGCGUGUUGCUUAAUUCGAUGCUACGCGAAGAACCUUACCUAAGUUUGACAUGUACGGAAUAGCCACAGAAGAAGUGGUGCCCUUCGG